UACGUAGGGUGCAAGCGUUAAUCGGAAUUACUGGGCGUAAAGCGUGCGCAGGCGGUUAUGUAAGACAGAUGUGAAAUGCCCGGGCUUAACCUGGGAACUGCAUUUGUGACUGCAUGGCUAGAGUUUGGCAGAGGGGGGUAGAAUUCCACGUGUAGCAGUGAAAUGCGUAGAUAUGUGGAGGAACACCGAUGGCGAAGGCAGCCCCCUGGGUCAAGACUGACG
rnacentral:rRNA from 1 species